CCCUACCUCCUUCUCCCCAUCUGUUUUCUAACUGUAUGAAAUCAUAGGGCUGGCAACUUCCCUCUUCUCUAAACCACCAACAAUUUAACAUUUCAACAUAUGCAUAACUGGUGCAACGUGGAAUGGAAACAGACGUUCAUCACAAUGCAAGCCCAUCAUCACAGCCAGAUGGAGGUUAAGCCUCUACCACAAAUUAAUCUGAAUUAUCUUUGCCUGCUGCAUUCAUGCUUUGUGUAUCCUGAAAUCAUCCUCAACUCAGUGGAAAGCAUCAGGUUGUACAGUUAUUUCACUGGACUGCAGGACUACAUUGUGCAACUAUCCAAAACCACUGGGCAGCUCAUAUGAACAAAUGGAACAGUAAUUUCAGGGCAACUGGUUUCAUUAUUGAUGUGGACUACAAAACCUGCUUAGGUAAAACCUGAAGCAGCUGUGACACCUGCCACCUACUCAGCUGAUGCAAUUCCACUUUUGAAGCAGUACUACCAAGUAUCACAUAUGAUUUAUUUAUUUAUUUUUGUCUCCACACAUAAUAAGAGGUGGGCUUGCGCAGGCAAAUGGGUAUCCACAGCAGAAUGCCAGGAGGAAAAGGGCCAGCUGUUUGUCUUUUUCCUUCUACUCUUCCAGGGUCUCUAGAGUUAAAAAAAAAAAAACAACAACAACAAAAAAAAAAAAA